rfam:Rhizophagus irregularis DAOM 197198w jcf7180003192217, whole genome shotgun sequence.
GCCCGGUUAGUUCAGUUGGUUAGAACGCCACAUCUUUCAAAUCUUAUGUUAUAAGCUUUAAUCGUGGAAACGCGGGUUCAAUUCCUGCACUGGGCC